rnacentral:lncRNA from 1 species
ACACCCCAAAAGUGGUAAAAGUAAAAAGGGGGAAAUACGAGUAUACUCACGGUUUACAAGUGGUGACUUGAAAUUCCGAGAGCAAGUUUGUAGAUGAAUUAGUUCGGAGCACCUUGUCCUUCUACACAAGGAAACGUAGGUGUGUGAGUUUGGCGUAUAACGGAAGAUUAUAGAUUCGGAGUUUUUAAUAUAUAGAAAGUAACAUAGGUGAAAAUAAUCAUCUUGUACGCAUAACUCUUGUUCUUGACACUAUUGAAACUCAAAAGAGUUGGUAUGAUUUCAUGGAUUCUAAGAUCCAUUAGAGUCGUAACAAGGGCAUGGUCAUAGAUGAUGUAACGUCCACUUAACAAAUAACUAUUAAGUCAUCAUCAAGUCUUAGUUACUUAGAUGUAUACAUAUAGAAUAACUUAGAUAUUAUAUAGUUUACAAGUCUUAUGAUUCAAGCAUGAGGUAGGAGAUUAAUGUCUCCAUUUAGGUACCUCUUUGUGUCAUAGAAUACAUACAUGAGGUAGGAAGAACAAGCUUCCAUUUAGGCACCUCUAUUGUUCACCACUACACUUGUUGUUAUAAACAACAAGGAGGGUCAUGAACAUACAAGUAUCAAGGUAUUAACAACAACUAAUCUAUAGCAAAACAUCAAGUAAUGAGUGGAUUCUUAUGAAGGAUAGCCCAAGCUAAUCCAACCAUCACACAUUCAACAAGUUUCACACUUGAACAUUACUUGUGGGGAGGCUGGUUAUAUGUGCAAGUUUGUAGAUGAAUUAGUUCGGAGCACCUUGUCCUUCUACACAAGGAAACGUAGGUGUGUGAGUUUGGCGUAUAACGGAAGAUUAUAGAUUCGGAGUUUUUAAUAUAUAGAAAGUAACAUAGGUGAAAAUAAUCAUCUUGUACGCAUAACUCUUGUUCUU